rnacentral:lncRNA from 1 species
GCUUGUUGUGGCGUUUCCGAUCUAUUUAGAGUUCGGGGUCUUUUGAGAGAUUUUCUUGUACUCCGCCUUUUCGACAUUAAUAAAUUAUUUGCUCCGUCUUCGCCCGUGGACGUAGGCCGUUGGCCGAACCACGUAAAUAUCGGUGUGUUCUUUCCUUAUCUUUUCUUUUCUUGCAUUAAAUUAUUUUUCUGGAUCUAUUUUUCGCCGUUCCGAUUUCAACACCAUGCCACCCCAAACCCCCAACCAUAAUAGAGAAAUAAAAAAA